rnacentral:misc_RNA from 1 species
UUUUUCCUUUUAAAUAAAAAACCAGGUUUCCAAGUGGGGAUGUAUAAAUAUUUUAGUGUAUUUUUCUCCCUUUCAUUCUCAUUCUAGCUCCUCGCCAUUGGAAUGACAUGUCGACCAGGACUUAUAAAGACUGAAGCUUUGAGCUUCGAAACUCUCAAACCAUACAACUUGUUUGUGCUUGGGCCCAUCUACUUUGCUCAGUUGAUCAAGGUGCAUAUGAAGGUGUGAUUGAUUUGAUUCCGACACCAUCCAUGGUGGUGAAUUACUGAUGAUGGUGCCACUGUUUAAUUUUCUUUAGAUAUGAGAUUUAGAAAAGAUUUCAUGUUUGCAUUUGAUAUUGAGAUGUGAAAUUUAUUGAUAUGUGUUUGUGAAUAUUUUUGGUUGUAAAAUUUUUGGAUUUGUGAGUUUU